CGCGGCCCAAAAAAAGAAAAACCAAAAGACCGCGUUGAGGUAAACCGCAAAGGGGAAGGGAUCUAUAGCGCAAAUAUCCCGCUAAGGGAAAACACGCGGAUCCCCUUCCUGGAGGGUCGGGUUGCGGGUCAUACGCCAAAACGGCGUCGUUUUGGCCAUUGAUGCUAAGGCCCAAAACGGCGCCGUUUUGUAUCUAAUAUAAAUACCAAAAAAAAAAAAAGAAAGAAAACAAUUUACUUCAUUUUUCAGAAAAAAAGAAAAAAAACAGAGAGCUCAGCCUCUCUCUCUCUCUCUCUCUCGCAGGCUUCUAGCUCCGGCCAAGGACCCAGCCAUCGGCCACCGUGUCUCCGUUGCGUCGCCGCCUCACCGGCCGCAGUAUGCGGUGGCCGGAAAGUUCAAAGAUGGUAGCAGACACGUGGGUAGCAGCGCUUGGGGAGCGGAGGCGGUGGCCAGGGGACGUGCAUGAGGCUGGCAGAGGCGGACCUAGGUGCGGCGCACCUAGGGUUUCUGCCUCUCAUUUUUUGCUGAAAAUUUGUUUAAGUUUUGUGGGCUUGCUGGGCUAAGGUUUAGUAGUAUUUGGGUUUGGGUUUUGUUUUGGAUAUUGGGUUUUGGGGGGUAUUGGGCAAAUUUGGGCUUGUACAUACUUCAUUCAACCAAAUCUGGUCAAACUACUUAAUGCUUAUUGAGCAAAAUGCAGGCAUUAUCCUGUUCAGGUUCAAAGGGACUUUCUCAGCCUCAUCUGCCAGCUUCAUGGUCGAAUGCCAUGAACUAAAUGCAGAUACAGGCACCCCUGGUGCGUUUUGCAUCAAUAUAUAACAUCAAAACCAUAAAUAAAACGUGCAUUGAAGUUCUAGUGGCAUAAAUUAUCUGCUCAUUUUUUCUUUAAAAGAAAAAAAGAAUAUUUUAAAGGAUUUCACUUACUUUACCAUGGAUUCAUUUCAUUUGUAAUCACAGGAUUACUUCAAUUACUAGAGUAAUAUUUUCGGUGCAUAUAAUACCUUCCAGAAUUUCAAUAAACAAGAACCCCGAUGUACUGACUGAUAAGUUGUAAAAGUAGCAUUUUUUAAUCUCAUUCUGAAUGCAUUUUUGGAUGAUUAAUUAUGUAAAUUAGUGAAUUUGAUGCUCCUAAUCCUUUAAAUUUUUGUUUCUAUACUUAGGAGAGCAUUUGGGAGCAAAAGGAGCGAAAAACGAGCUAAAAUCGGAUAAAUAGAGUUGUUUCCAAGAUCCACAUGGCCUGGGCAUUUCCACACGAGCUGGCCACAAGCCCGUGUGAGCGACACGUGCCAACCCAUGUGCCGCCUUGUCGAUAUCGCUCCCUGUUUCCCAAACACGCAGAAAAAUUCAAUUUUUAGGCUUUUUGAGCAUUCUAAAGUCUAUAAUUAUCAAUUAUAAGAAGAUCUAAGAGAGCACUCAGAGAAGAUUGAAGAAAUCACUCGAAGAAUGCCAUCAGAAUCAACUCAGAAGUGGAUCUCCUUCAAGAUUGAAGAUCUCCAUUUAAUUUCCUUAGAAGUUUUAUUGAGUUUUUUUAUGUCUUAUUGUUAUACUAACUUUGAGAUGUUUUCAUUCCAGAUUAUGAACUAAACUCCCUAGAUACCUAAGGAAGAGGAAACCUAUGAUGAAUCUUAUUAUUUGAUUUCUGAUUUACAUGAUAAAUACUUGAUUCUUGUUCUCAA